UGAAGAGAGACAAAUAAAAUUGAAGCAUCCUAAUAAUGUUUACAUUGUUAGCCCAACAUCCUGCUGUGAAGUUCUGGAGAGGAUCAACUCUGGAAAGCUCUUAUGUAGAGUCUUCUCACACUUAACAUCAUACCUUUACGAGCCAUGUGACUCAAUGAUCUACGGAGCCUAUGUGUGUGGUCCAUCAAAGAUGCAGAUUCUGGACGAGACAAACUUGCAAGGAAGGGCAAUGAUCCUUGAGGACGGGUAUGGCCGCAAAGUUGUCUUUUCUCUCCUUCACGACCUUGAUUAAAGAAAUACGGAAAUAUGUACAUAGUUGGAUUUUUGAAAAUUCAAUUGCUGUGGCGCCUGCAUUAUGGGUAGAGGAGGUGAAUGGGGUUCUGAUUUGCUACUGGCCCCGUAGAAAUGCUGAUGCCAUGGCAAAGGCCUCCCAAAAGGCCAGAUAAGGAGCUCUGUAAGCGAC